CUCUUUUUCUUAUUCCCUCUAUUUUCGCUUUCUCCUGAUUUUGGCUACCCCAAUCUGUUAUUUCCCUUUUUUAUUUUUAUUUCGUUCCUUAUUUGUUUUUUCCACUUUUCACUCUCUUCAAUUCUUUGGGCAAUUUCUCUUUUAAUUCCUUAUUUCUCUGCAUUCCUCUUUAAUUAAUUUGGGAUCAAAGUGUUGGUUCCUUCAAAGGAAUUUCUCUAUUUCUAACAUAAAUAUUUGUUCUGUUUUGCUUCAAAGAAUUUUGUUUCACUGAUGGUCUUGCUUCAACAUUGGAAGUAAAAUAUAGUGAAAUAGAAGUGAGAGGGUGAUGAGUAGUAAAAAAUGGCUGCAAAUAAUGAACGAGGAUAUAGAUUGAAGAUGAUUUGAAAGGGUAAAAGUAGGAGGAGGUGAGCAUUUAUCAGCUUUGCUGGUUGGUGAAAUAAGACCUACAGUUCAAGAUCCUUCUCUCAUCAAGGUCCCCCACGGUCAUUAAUUGAAGCUUAAAAACAAAAAGAUGCAUGGAUAAGAUCUUACUGAACAUUGUUAAAAUGAGAUUGAUUUUGGUAUAUUAGUGCGAGCACUGGUAUCAACAACAUACUACCCACAAGUAAAGUGCUGCCACAGAAAUUAGAAGGAGGAUGCCAAAUUUCUCAGAUAACUGGCCCUGUUACAGCUGCUAGAGAUACCGUGACAACAGCAGAUCGGAAAAUUGUGUAGGUUCUUUCUUUUCUCAGUUUAAUGAUCCAAAAUGAUGAAUGAUUCACAAGUUUGCAUGUGGCUUAUGUUAGCUAUUAUGAGAAGGUUAGAGCGUCAAGUAGUUCUACUACAGUUCCACUACCACUGCUACUGCCGCCACCCUCAAUCUCUUCGGAUGAGGACUAUGAUGAUGAUGAGGAUGAAGAUGACACUGAAGACUAUAGCUGAUAGUUUUAGCAUGGUUGAAUAAUAAUAUACUAGGAAUUAUAGUUGAUGAUCAAUACACUUUGAAUUAUAGUACUUUUCUUUUAGUUUGAUAAUACGAUGAAUUUGUUUAUUUUUUGA